rnacentral:rRNA from 1 species
CCCUUAGAUGUCCGGGGCUGCACGCGCGCUACACUGAAGGAAUCAGCGUGCUAAAACCAUUGUCGCAAGGCAUUGGUAAACCCAUUAAAAUCCUACGUGAUUGGGAUCGGGAAUUGCAAUUAUUUCCCUUGAACGAGGAAUUCCCAGUAAGUGUGGGUCAUAAGCUCGCGUUGAUUACGUCCCUGCCCUUUGUACACACCGCCCGUCGCUGCCCGGGACUGAGCCGUUUCGAGAAAAGCGGGGACUGCUGCUGUCGGGGCUUUCGGGCCUUGGCUUCGGUGGAAACCGCUUUAAUCGCAGUGGCUUGAACCGGGCAAAAGUCGUAACA